GCUGCGGCGCUCCGCCGCCUGCCCCGCUUUGUCUGCGCUGCCGCCCGCCCGGCGCCGCGCUGCGCUCUUUUUGCGCAGAGGUGCACAGGGCUUUGUGUGCGAAGCUGAGCCCGGCCAGGGACGCGGGAGUGCUCGCCGUGCGCGGCUUCGGGCUCUCGUGUGAGAAGGAGCUGGAGAUGUUGGAAUCACACCAUGCCAAGCAGAUGGGAACUUAGAAACCAGGCAUGAUCCCUUGGGUCAGAAUAUCCGACAUCCUGCUGGGGAACCAGGUCACUGCUCUGCUGGAAGAAAGGAAAGAUUUGAACCAUGAUGGAGCAGAACAUCACUGAAAGCAAAUCUCUACCACCAAGUAUGUAAUCUCUGACAAACUGAUGCCAUGCCAUGAAGAUCAUGUCUUGGCAGACAGUGUCCAGCCCCAGCUGAUUCUUUUGCCUGGGACAGAGGGAGGCAGGGACAACAGCUAAAGUGUACCUGCUUUAUUGCAAAAAACAUGGUAAAAUUUCAAAGGUGUUCUUAGUUGGAAAAUAAUAUUUUUUACUUAAAAUAUUAUGAUUAGAUCUUAUUUAAUUUUACCCCACUGAUAACAGUUGGUUGUACAAUUAAUAGACCACAUUAAUAGGCGUGAUCAACUGCUAGUGUCUGAGCUUAUUUCACAUAGUUUAUGCAAAACUUUGAACACAUAUCCUUCAACUACACAGCCUGUACUCCCAGCAGUCAUAUAUGUCUGUAGCACCUUAUUGGAAACAACAAACCUUGACUUUUUUUAGAACUGUAAGAUCAAAAAUUUAGGUGGGUUUUUUUUCUAUUUGAAUUUGGAUUGUUGCCAUUAGGUAUCCAGUAUUUCUGGAUUUGAGUUUGUUACAGUGAUGGUACAUUGCAGCUUUGUGCUGCUAAAUGUCAUCUCCAUCUUUUCAGAACAGGUUGCUGCACUUGAGGAACAGAACUAUUUUAUUUAGAAGUGACUAAUCCAGAAAAAUUUCACCUGUUAGAAUCUCUUCACCUACUUUUAAUUUCCAAAACUAUCUAAUUUGGAGCUGAAAUUUCCCAGGCUGGAAGCCCUGAGGGGAAAAAUAAAAAGAGAUUCAGUCCAGGAAGGGAAUGCAUUUUUGUAGUUUUAAGAGGCUCAACAGAGUAAUACUUUUUUAUGCUGCUCUUGUAAAGUGAUUUGUUUUGGAACUACUCAGUACAUAGUGUUACUAACUUAGAUUUCUCUCUAAUGAACAAUGGUGCUGAAUCCUGUCACUGUCAUGAGUUUUGCCUCCUCCUCAAGCUUUUUACAGUCUCCAGGAAGGCUAGAGGUGACAUGCUGGGAAGACAACCUCACAGUUCAGCAAAUUCACGUCAGCAAGUGCUGCAAGGUGCUGUGGCAGAAGUCAGUGUUCUGCAGGUGAAGGUGUCCUGGAGAAGUCGCCCACCAGAGCUGGAUUUAAAAGAGGACUGAUUAUUUUAGGACCUCUAAGAAAACAGGUGGUUAUGUAAGGUCAAAUCUCAGCAAGUGUAAUCAAAUCCCAGUUCUAAGCUGAUCAUCAGGCAGGGUGUUGGAGGUAUUUAUUCAAGCACUCCCUCCCUGUGUUGUGACUUUCCUCUGAAACAGCCAGAGCUGAAGCUGGGACUAAAUUAGGAGAGCUGUGGAAUCCUCUCCUCCUCUGCUGACCUUGGGAAAUCUCCCUUGCCAGCUGCACCCUGACAUUCCUGUGCUAAACACUACUCUCAACAGGGAACUUGCUUUUAUACUGGAAUUUAUGGCUUCUUGUCAGGUUGUGUCCAGCCUCUGACUAGCUCUUAGGUGCCUUAUGUACCUUGGUGCUUUGCCUGUAGCUCAGGGCAUGCUGCUUGCAUGCCUCUCUCUAUAUAACCUCCCUCUGACCCCAUGAGACAGUAACUAGCAGCCUCUCUGUGCCAACGUUUUUCCUUUAUUGCACUUGUGCUGCUCACAUGUUAUUGCUCUCACAGCCCUGCCUCCGUAAACCCCCACAGCGUUAUUAUGGUAGAUUCUCGUGGAAGAACUGGUGUGAGAAUUGCUGUUCCUCCCACUCCUUCUAUUUCUCUUGUAUUGUAGACUUCAGUGUAUAAAGGAGAAAAACAAAUGUGGUGUUCAACAAAAGCACCAAUGGCUAUUUAAAUUCUCGGUAAAUAUUAUCCAAUGUCAUAUAUUCACGGAAGCUGAACAAGCAAUGAAUGUGCAGCAUUUGCACAUGAUGAGUGUUCUCCUCUCAGAUCUAAUAGAAACAUACCCAGAAAUAACCCAUAGGAGUUUAAGUGGGUCUUGAUGAAAAGUAUAUCAUGCUAAGGGAAAGCAAGGCAAGAAAUCAUCAUACUGGUCAUUUUCACUGUCAUCACCUGCACCACUGGAGAGAGUCCUCAGAGGAGGAUGCUCCUAUGGGACCCCAUCACUGCCCUUGACAUCUGGCCAGUGGAAAAAAAUUCCCCUUUUUCUCUCUCUCCUUUUCCUUUAUUUUCUUUUUCUUUCUAGAAAUAAUUUUCAGCAUUACAGUCAAAGUAUGCCAACAGCUGUCAUUGUGCCACAAAUAAAUCUUCAUGUAUACAAAACUGUCAGAACAUCCUUUGUGCAACAUGUGCAUGCCCCACAUGCAAUGAUGAUUACUAAACAAUUCACUUAGUCUAUGGUGUGUUUAUGAUGCCUGACUGGACCAGAAAGCAAGUUGCAGUUCCAGGUUCUUGGCACAGAAAUAUCCUUAGCAGCCUCCCAGUAAGAAGCUUCAAUGCACUUUGUAGAGGUGUGUACCUUCAGUGGGAAACAAGAGUGUAGAGGAUCUAGAUUAAAAAAAAAAGGUUGGAAUCUGACAGUGAAAGGCCAUUAAAAACAAAAACAAACAAACAAACAUUACAGCAUUAAGCUCUACACUUGUGCAAGAUCCUGAGGGGAAAACAGAAGACUUAGCACUAGCAGUACACCUAAGCAAUAAAAGGAGAAAAUAAAAUUUAAAAAAAAAAAUUGAUUCAGAUUUUCAUCCCCUGGCUUUUCUGCUUCCACAGUUAUUUCCACCAGGGAUCUGCUAUCACAUGGCAGCUAGAGCAUUUAGCAUCGAUGUGUCUGGGAGCUGAGCAGCAACCCAAGAGACAAGAUAAUGGAGCAGGAAGAGCUGCCUCCUCUGCCCAUUAGUCAAAUGUUCCCAAGGAGAGUGUGAGAUGCUCCCCAGAAGCAAUCAUUUCUUUCUGAAAGCCUCAACUGUUACAUGAAAAAAAUCAUAAUAAUGGUGGCAAAGAGCUGAUCUGAAUGAGAUUGCACAGCGGUGCUUUUAUGUGGUAGGAGGAGGAAAGAAGAAUAUGUCUGUUGCAUGGUGUGAAAGACAUGGGAAGGUAUGUGCCCCCCUAAGAAGAAGAAAGAAACAUUUUACCAAAGUGUUUAGAAGAGCCUUCCAUUCUUGGGCUGCUGGUUGCCACGGAGAAAGAAUCGAUCAUUUAAAAAAAAAAAAAAAAAAAAAAAGAUGAUAAAAGGAGCUGUCAGGAAAGAAGACAUCUGGAGCUGACUUGUGUACAGUUUCUUCUUCUUAGCCCAGUGACACUGAAUCAUUUGCUUCACUGUUUUAAACUGAAUAAAACUCUGGGACUAUCUGAUUCCUAUUUAAAUAAAAACACACUCUUUUUUUUUUUAGCAAGGCAGUAUUACUUCUCUGUUUAGUUCAAUGCAUGAUCAUUUUAGAGAGCACUAGCGUGUCAUUUAAUCACUGUUCACAGGCACAUGGCAUGUAGUUCAUACAGAAGGAAUCAAUUAUGAGAAAAGAAAAAUCUGAAUAAGACCCU